rnacentral:lncRNA from 1 species
AUUACCUUCUUUCCUUUCUUCCCCGUCUCUCCCUUUCUUUUCUCGCUCUAGAUAGUUUGGUUUGGCCUCUUCUCUCCUCUCUCCUGAUGCGCGUCGCCAUCAGCAUAAUGCCGGCGGUGCUGUUGCUGUCUGCAAAGGUGUCGGGGAUGCACGCGCGGUGGUGGUAGGCGGCCAAAGAAGUUUUCUUGGGGUUGGGGGGGAGGGGGAGGGAGAGGAGUCCGGCG